rnacentral:lncRNA from 1 species
AUUAGUUAGAUGUGGAAUCUAAUGGGUCACACACAUAAAGAAAUUGAUCAAGGACCCAUUUGAUAUGGUUAAUUAAAAUUUUGGACCCAAUUGGAUUUCUGGUAAGUAUGCUAGCACAUAUGGAAACCCUAGCUCUUUGAAUCGGAUUCGAAUUUGAUUCGAAUCUUGCUUUUUGAUCAAACCAAAUUGAGCCAUGGGCUAAUUUGGAUUUGGAUUAGAUUGUGGCUGCUCUUGGGUGGCACCACAUAGACUCGUGGGCACCAUUUGUAAGGGUCCUAUU